UACGUAGGGUGCAGAGUGAUUGAAUCGAAUCUGGGCGUAAAGCGUGCGCAGGCGGUUAUGCAAGACAGAUGUGAAAUCCCCGGGCUCAACCUGGGAACUGCAUUUUGUGACUGCAUGGCUAGAGUACGGUAGAGGGGGGAUGGAAUUCCGCGUGUAGCAGUGAAAUGCGUAGAUAUGUGGAGGAACACCGAUGGCGAAGGCAGCCCCCUGGGAUGUGACUGACGCUCAUGUACGAAAGCGUGGGGAGCAAACAGG
rnacentral:rRNA from 1 species